CAGAGGGUGCGAGCGUUGUUCGGAAUUAUUGGGCGUAAAGCGCGUGUAGGCGGCUUUGCAAGUCGGGUGUGAAAGCCCUCAGCUUAACUGAGGAAGUGCGCCCGAAACUGCCGAGCUUGAGUACCGGAGAGGAUGGUGGAAUUCCCCAAGUAGAGGUGAAAUUCGUAGAUAUGGGGAGGAACACCGGUGGCGAAGGCGACCAUCUGGACGGAUACUGACGCUGAGACGCGAAAGCGUGGGUAGCAAACAGGAUUAGAUACCCUGGUAGUCCACGCCGUAAACGAUGAGAACUAGGUGUUGUGGGAGUUGACCCCGCGGUGCCGAAGCUAACGCAUUAAGUUCUCCGCCUGGGAAGUACGGCCGCAAGGCUA
rnacentral:rRNA from 1 species